rnacentral:lncRNA from 1 species
UGAGGAAACCCAAGGCACAGAGGAGGAGGUGAGAUACUGAGAACUGCUCAAGCAACCCAGGAAAAGAAGUCCACCAGGCAUUCCACGUGUCAGCUUGGGCUCCCUCCCUACUGUGUGACAGCAUCAUUCGCAGAAAUGAUAAGGCUAAAGGAGCAAGAGGAAAGCGCUUCUCUAGCUACAGAACAAAGCAAGGAGCACCAAGCCAACAGGACCAUUGUCUGCCCAACUUCUCAGUAUGUUGUCAAGUCCACCCACAUCUGCUCAGAUAGGCCUGAACAUGAUCCAGACUUCCCCAGAGAAGCUGAGCUGGCAGGAGAUUUUAGAUCAGACUUCAUGUAUAGAUGACUCCCAAGACAAAAAGAGCAUUUUUGACCUGUGUUCUUAAAGGUGUUAAUGUGAUGUAAUUCCAGAUCCCCU